rnacentral:rRNA from 1 species
UACGUAGGUGGCAAGCGUUGUCCGGAUUUACUGGGCGUAAAGAGCGCGCAGGCGGUCGUUCAAGUCGCGUGUGAAAGCCCCCGGCUCAACUGGGGAGGGUCACGCGAUACUGAUCGACUCGAAGGCAGGAGAGGGAAGUGGAAUUCUCGGUGUAGCAGUGAAAUGCGUAGAUAUCGAGAGGAACACCAGUGGCGAAGGCGAGUCCCUGGACAUCUCCUGACACUGAGGCACGAAAGCUAGGGGAGCAAACAGG